rnacentral:rRNA from 1 species
AUUGAACGCUGGCGGCAGGCCUAACACAUGCAAGUCGAGCGGUAGAGAGAAGCUUGCUUCUCUUGAGAGCGGCGGACGGGUGAGUAAUGCCUAGGAAUCUGCCUAGUGGUGGGGGAUAACUCUCGGAAACGGACGCUAAUACUGCAUACGUCCUACGGGAGAAAGCGGGGGAUCUUCGGCCCUGGCGCCAUUAGAUGCGCCUAGGUCGGAUUAGCUAGUUGGUGAGGGAAUGGCUCACCAAGGCGACGAUCCGUAACUGGUCUGAGAGGAUGAUCAGUCACACUGGAACUGAGACACGGUCCAGACUCCUACGGGAGGCAGCAGUGGGGAAUAUUGGACAAUGGGCGAAAGCCUGAUCCAGCCAUGCCGCGUGUGUGAAGAAGGUCUUCGGAUUGUAAAGCACUUUAAGUUGGGAGGAAGUGCAGUAACCUAAUACGUUAUUGUUUUGACGUUACCGACAGAAUAAGCACCGGCUAACUUCGUGCCAGCAGCCGCGGUAACAC